GCGCGGUAAUACGGAGGGGGCUAGCGAUGUUCGGAAUUACUGGGCGUAAAGCGCACGUAGGCGGAUAUUUAAGUCAGGGGUGAAAUCCCGGGGCUCAACCCCGGAACUGCCUUUGAUACUGGGUAUCUGGAGUAUGGAAGAGGUAAGUGGAAUUCCGAGUGUAGAGGUGAAAUUCGUAGAUAUUCGGAAGAACACCAGUGGCGAAGGCGGCUUACUGGUCCAUUACUGACGCUGAGGUGCGAAAGCGUGGGGAGCAAACAGG
rnacentral:rRNA from 1 species